rnacentral:misc_RNA from 1 species
AGUCGUAACAAGGUUUCCGUAGGUGAACCUGCGGAAGGAUCAUUAGAGAAAAGAAGUGGCUGGGUUAGUUGGGCUGGUUGGGCUGGUUGGCUGAUGCCGACUAGCUAGCUGGCUGGCUGGCUGGCCGAUGCUGGAUGGGAAAUGCUGACGGGGAAUUGCCGCGGAUGCUGGGGCUGAUGGAGAAAUACCGGAUGCUGGGGCUGACGGGGAAGUACCGGCCGGAGGCUUUCUCUACACUUGCUCUCGCAAGAGAGUGAGCAAACACUAUUGUAUUCUGACAUGGCAAAACAAAGCAAAACACUGAUAUUACUUUUAACAACGGAUCUCUGGGCUCCC